GACGAACGCUGGCGGCGUGCCUAAUACAUGCAAGUCGAACGCAGUGGGGACGGGUGAGUAACACGUGGGUAACCUCCCAUCAGAGGGGAUAACACUUGGAAACAGCUGCUAAACCGAUACUGAUGGAUGGACCCGCGGUGGAUUAGCUAGUUGGUGAGGUAACGGCCCACCAAGGCGACGAUGCAUAGCCGACCUGAGAGGGUGAUCAGCCACACUGGGACUGAGACACGGCCCAGACUCCUACGGGAGGCAGCAGUAGGGAAUCUUCGGCAAUGGACGAAAGUCUGACCGAGCAAUGCCGCGUGAGUGAAGAAGGUUUUAGGAUCGUAAAACCCUGUUGGUAGAGAAGCGUUAUCUAACCAGAAAGCCACGGCUAACUACGUGCCAGCAGCCGCGGUAAUAC
rnacentral:rRNA from 1 species